GACGAACGCUGGCGGCGUGCUUAACACAUGCAAGUCGAACGGAAAGGCCCUGCUUUUGUGGGGUGCUCGAGUGGCGAACGGGUGAGUAACACGUGAGUAACCUGCCCUUGACUUUGGGAUAACUUCAGGAAACUGGGGCUAAUACCGGAUAGGAGCUCCUGCUGCAUGGUGGGGGUUGGAAAGUUUCGGCGGUUGGGGAUGGACUCGCGGCUUAUCAGCUUGUUGGUGGGGUAGUGGCUUACCAAGGCUUUGACGGGUAGCCGGCCUGAGAGGGUGACCGGCCACAUGGGGCCGGAGAUCCGGCCCAGACUCCUCUGGGAGGCAGCAGUGGGGAAUAUGGCACAAGGGGCGGAAGCCUGAUGAAGCAACGCCGGGUGCGGGAGGACGGCCUUCGGGUUGGAAACCGCUUUCGCCUGUGACGAAGCGUGAGUGACGGUAAUGGGUAAAGAAGCACCGGCUAACUCCGU
rnacentral:rRNA from 1 species